rnacentral:rRNA from 1 species
AAAAAAGGUAAGCUACUAAGAGCGAAUGGUGGAUGCCUUGACUGGUAAAGGCGAUGAAGGACGUACUAGACUGCGAUAAGCUACGGGGAGCUGUCAAGAAGCUUUGAUCCGUAGAUUUCCGAAUGGGGCAACCCAAUGUAUAGAGAUAUACAUUACCUAUAUAGGAGCGAACGAGGGGAAUUGAAACAUCUUAGUACCCUCAGGAAAAGAAAUCAAUAGAGAUUGCGUCAGUAGCGGCGAGCGAAAGCGCAAGAGGGCAAACCCAGUGCUUGCACUGGGGGUUGUAGGACUGCAAUGUGCAAGAGGUAAGUUUAGCAGAACAUUCUGGAAAGUAUAACCAUAGAGGGUGAUAGUCCCGUAUGCGAAAAACAAACCUUAGCUAGCAGUAUCCUGAGUAGGGCGGGACACGAGGAAUCCUGUCUGAAUCCGGGUCGACCACGAUCCAACCCUAAAUACUAAUACCAGAUCGAUAGUGCACAAGUACCGUGAGGGAAAGGUGAAAAGAACUGAGGUGAUCAGAGUGAAAUAGAACCUGAAACCAUUUGCUUACAAUCAUUCAGAGCCCUAUGUAGCAAUACAGGGUGAUGGACUGCCUUUUGCAUAAUGAGCCUGCGAGUUGUGGUGUCUGGCAAGGUUAAGCAAACGCGAAGCCGUAGCGAAAGCGAGUCUGAAUAGGGCGCUUAGUCAGAUGCUGCAGACCCGAAACGAAGUGAUCUAUCCAUGAGCAAGUUGAAGCUAGUGUAAGAACUAGUGGAGGACUGAACCCAUAGGCGUUGAAAAGCCCCGGGAUGACUUGUGGAUAGGGGUGAAAGGCCAAUCAAACUUCGUGAUAGCUGGUUCUCUCCGAAAUAUAUUUAGGUAUAGCGUUGUGUCGUAAUAUAAGGGGGUAGAGCACUGAAUGGGCUAGGGCAUAUACCAAUGUACCAAACCCUAUCAAACUCCGAAUACCUUAUAUGUAAUCACAGCAGUCAGGCGGCGAGUGAUAAAAUCCGUCGUCAAGAGGGAAACAACCCAGACUACCAGCUAAGGUCCCUAAAUCUUACUUAAGUGGAAAACGAUGUGAAGUUACUUAAACAACCAGGAGGUUGGCUUAGAAGCAGCCAUCCUUUAAAGAAAGCGUAAUAGCUCACUGGUCUAGUGAUUUUGCGCGGAAAAUAUAACGGGGCUAAAGUAAGUACCGAAGCUGUAGACUUGCACACAACUUAGAUUAUUUAAGUUUAGAAUAUGAGAAACUAAGUUAUAUGUUUAGUUAUAUUUUUACUGAUUUUUAUAGAGUAAAGAUAGAAAUAAAACUUAGUAAAAUCAGUAAAAAUAUUCUUAGACUAAAGUUAAGUAGUUUAAGUUGUGUGCAAGUGGUAGGAGAGCGUUCUAUUUGCGUCGAAGGUAUACCGGUAAGGAGUGCUGGAGCGAAUAGAAGUGAGCAUGCAGGCAUGAGUAGCGAUAAUUAAUGUGAGAAUCAUUAACGCCGUAAACCCAAGGUUUCCUACGCGAUGCUCGUCAUCGUAGGGUUAGUCGGGUCCUAAGUCGAGUCCGAAAGGGGUAGACGAUGGCAAAUUGGUUAAUAUUCCAAUACCAACAUUAGUGUGCGAUGGAAGGACGCUUAGGGCUAAGGGGGCUAGCGGAUGGAAGUGCUAGUCUAAGGUCGUAGGAGGUUAUACAGGCAAAUCCGUAUAACAAUACUCCGAGAACUGAAAGGCUUUUUGAAGUCUUCGGAUGGAUAGAAGAACCCCUGAUGCCGUCGAGCCAAGAAAAGUUUCUAAGUUUAGCUAAUGUUGCCCGUACCGUAAACCGACACAGGUGGGUGGGAUGAGUAUUCUAAGGCGCGUGGAAGAACUCUCUUUAAGGAACUCUGCAAAAUAGCACCGUAUCUUCGGUAUAAGGUGUGGUUAGCUUUGUAUUAGGAUUUACUCCGAAAGCAAGGAAACUUACAACAAAGAGUCCCUCCCGACUGUUUACCAAAAACACAGCACUCUGCUAACUCGUAAGAGGAUGUAUAGGGUGUGACGCCUGCCCGGUGCUCGAAGGUUAAUUGAUGGGGUUAGCAUUAGCGAAGCUCUUGAUCGAAGCCCGAGUAAACGGCGGCCGUAACUAUAACGGUCCUAAGGUAGCGAAAUUCCUUGUCGGUUAAAUACCGACCUGCAUGAAUGGCGUAACGAGAUGGGAGCUGUCUCAAAGAGGGAUCCAGUGAAAUUGUAGUGGAGGUGAAAAUUCCUCCUACCCGCGGCAAGACGGAAAGACCCCGUGGACCUUUACUACAGCUUGACACUGCUACUUGGAUAAGAAUGUGCAGGAUAGGUGGGAGGCUUUGAGUAUAUGACGCCAGUUGUAUAUGAGCCAUUGUUGAGAUACCACUCUUUCUUAUUUGGGUAGCUAACCAGCUUGAGUUAUCCUCAAGUGGGACAAUGUCUGGUGGGUAGUUUGACUGGGGCGGUCGCCUCCCAAAUAAUAACGGAGGCUUACAAAGGUUGGCUCAGAACGGUUGGAAAUCGUUCGUAGAGUAUAAAGGUAUAAGCCAGCUUAACUGCAAGACAUACAAGUCAAGCAGAGACGAAAGUCGGUCUUAGUGAUCCGGUGGUUCUGUGUGGAAGGGCCAUCGCUCAAAGGAUAAAAGGUACCCCGGGGAUAACAGGCUGAUCUCCCCCAAGAGCUCACAUCGACGGGGAGGUUUGGCACCUCGAUGUCGGCUCAUCGCAUCCUGGGGCUGGAGCAGGUCCCAAGGGUAUGGCUGUUCGCCAUUUAAAGCGGUACGCGAGCUGGGUUCAGAACGUCGUGAGACAGUUCGGUCCCUAUCUGCCGUGGGCGUAAGAAGAUUGAAGAGAUUUGACCCUAGUACGAGAGGACCGGGUUGAACAAACCACUGGUGUAGCUGUUGUUCUGCCAAGAGCAUCGCAGCGUAGCUAAGUUUGGAAAGGAUAAACGCUGAAAGCAUCUAAGCGUGAAGCCAACUCUAAGAUGAAUCUUCUCUAAGCUCUCUAGAAGACUACUAGUUUGAUAGGCUGGGUGUGUAAUGGAUGAAAGUCCUUUAGCUGACCAGUACUAAUAGAGCGUUUGGCUUAUCUUUAAUAAAGCAU